rnacentral:rRNA from 1 species
UUCCGGUUGAUCCUGCCGGACCUGACUGCUAUCGGAUUGAUACUAAGCCAUGCGAGUCAUUGCAGCAAUGCAAGGCAGACGGCUCAGUAACGCGUAGUCAACCUAACCUAUGGACGGGAAUAACCUCGGGAAACUGAGAAUAAUGCCCGAUAGAACACUAUACCUGGAAUGGUUUGUGUUCCAAAUGAUUUAUCGCCGUAGGAUGGGACUGCGGCCUAUCAGUUUGUUGGUGAGGUAAUGGCCCACCAAGACUAUUACAGGUACGGGCUCUGAGAGGAGUAGCCCGGAGAUGGGUACUGAGACACGGACCCAGGCCCUAUGGGGCGCAGCAGGCGAGAAAACUUUGCAAUGUGCGAAAGCACGACAAGGUUAAUCCGAGUGGUUUCUGCUAAAGGAACCUUUUGACAGUCCUAGAAACACUGUUGAAUAAGGGGUGGGCAAGUUCUGGUGUCAGCCGCCGCGGUAAAACCAGCACCUCAAGUGGUCAGGAUGAUUAUUGGGCCUAAAGCAUCCGUAGCCGGCUCUGUAAGUUUUCGGUUAAAUCUGUACGCUUAACGUACAGGCUGCUGGGAAUACUGCAGAGCUAGGGAGUGGGAGAGGUAGACGGUACUCGGGAGGAAGUGGUAAAAUGCUUUGAUCUCUCGAUGACCACCUGUGGCGAAGGCGGUCUACCAGAACACGUCCGACGGUGAGGGAUGAAAGCUGGGGGAGCAAACCGGAUUAGAUACCCGGGUAGUCCCAGCUGUAAACUAUGGAAACUCAAUGAUGCACUGGCUUAUGGCCAGUGCAGUGUUGCAGGGAAGCCGUUAAGUUUGCCGCCUGGGAAGUACGUACGCAAGUAUGAAACUUAAAGGAAUUGGCGGGGGAGCACCACAAGGGGUGAAGCCUGCGGUUCAAUUGGAAUCAACGCCGGUA